rnacentral:lncRNA from 1 species
CCCCUGUUAUCACUUUUUUUAAAAUCAAUUCACUUUCCCCUGUUCUUUACUACAAAUCCAGUCGACCCCCUCCCCUUUAUUCUUGAUUACGUUUGCUGUUUUCGCUGAGUUCACGCACUGAGUCACCGAGUCAGGCACUGCUUCACCAUCUUCUUUAGAUUAUAGUCCAGUCUUUGGUUAAAUUGUGGGUUAUGGCAUCUGCUCUGUUUUGUUUUGUUAAUUCCACCCAUUUUCCGAGUUGUAGUCAUAGUGUUGGUAUUGAGUCGAGUCAGUCAUGAGUAAUGAGUCUGCUGAGUUAUGUUGGUUUAGUUUGAAUUUGCUCUGUUGGGUUUGGCUUCUAAGUUCGAUUCACAGCUUUGUUUUCAAGUAGCGAUUUGUUUUGUUUUUAAUGUUUUCAAAUCGAGUGUUAAGAUGUUGAGUUUAGGCUUCAUUUUGUUUAGUAUUGAGUUUUCCAUCCGGGUCUUUGGCUGAGUUCUGUUUUUUUGUUGCAACCGAGUUCUAGUUUCCUGUGUAAUUUGUUCGAGUUACUUUCUUUGUGCUGCUUGUUAAAUCGAGUUGCUGCGUUCUGUUUGUUUGACGCGUUUCUGA